ensembl:lncRNA
CUCUGUACAGAACCCUCUGUGCAGAGCCCCCUGUGCUGGAUCUGUCCUCUCUGCAGAACCCUCUGUACAGAUCCCUCUGUGCAGAUCCCCCUGUGCUGGAUCUGUCCUCUGUGCAGAACCCUCUGUACAGAACCCUCUGUGCAGAGCCCCCUGUGCUGGAUCUGUCCUCUCUGCAGAACCCUCUGUGCAGAACCCUCUGUGCAGAUCCCCCUGUGCUGGAUCUGUCCUCUCUGUGCAGAACCUUCUCUGCAGAACCCUCUGUGCAGAUCCCUCUGUGCAGAACCUCCUGUGCUGGAUCUAUCCCCCCUGUACAGACCCCCCUGUGCUGGAUCUGUCCCCUCUGUGCAGAACCCCCUUUUUGCAGAACCCCCUUUUCAGAGCCCUCUGUGCUCCCAGGCUGUGCUGGGAGCCACAAGCCCUUGGACAGUGGCAGAACACGGGCCCAGCUCGGGCUGGCACCUGGGGCACAGGAACAAGCCAAAGCAUUACCUGUAUGUUUGGAGAUGCACUUUUCUGAAUGUAGUUUAUAUCGCUCUUUUUUAGCUCUUUUUACAUCAUGUAAACGGUGAUGCCUCAUAUUUUUUUUUAAUUUAUAUCGUAAAAGAUCAUAUUUGGUGAUUUUUAUAUAUAUCGACUGUUAUGGGGUGGGGAGGGAGGUGGGGAAAUAAAUUUGACGCCUUUAUGAAUUUAAAAAAGAAAAAAAGCAGCUGGUUUUGCAGAGAAUUUGCUGAUGGUUUAUAAUUAGUAGAACCAAGCCAAAAUGCCUCUUUGUUUCCUCACAGCCCUCUUGAUUAUGGAGAAGGAGAUCUCGAUCCCUGAGCCCACUGCUGUCAUCAAUAACUUGGGGCUGACAUGGAUACCACGGCUUUUAACAGCCCUGGAAGCAAAAGAGUUUCAAGUGGACAGAAAUGUAAUUAUACCUCAGAAUUGGACUCUAUCUGGCCUCUUUAUCCUGGCAGACUAGGAAAAAAAUGGGAAUAAACUCAUUUAGGGGAGAGUGGAGGAGGAGUGCCAGGCUGACAAAAAGCUCUUGUGUCAGUUCCAAAUGUCCAAAUGUUGGAUUUCCUGCAGUUCCUCCCAGGGAGGGAUGGAUGGGAAAUGUUGAGAAUUGGGGUCCCUGCUGGAAGUGCUGCAGAAAUGGAGAAUAUUCUGUUUGACAAAGGAUUCCUUAAAAGAGUCCCAGUGUCCUGAAAUGGUUAAAACUGAUCAGAAAAGUGCCCAAGAUUCCCAUUGGAGAAGAGCUUGGAGGAGUUUGGGUGUCCCUGAGGUGGUUAGGAAACAAAGUCGUGACAUUUUGGUCUUGGUGUGACGAUUCUGUGCAUUCCAGGUUAUUUGCUUGUUCUCCAGAAAAACCCAUCUUUGCCCAUUCUAGUGGCAGUUAGGUUGCAUCAAUUUGGAUGGGUUUUUUGGGGUGGUUUUUUUUUCUUUUUCCUAAUUUGGAAUAACAUUCUAAAGGACUGGAAUCUGCUCUGAGGAGUUUCCAUUGGCACCUGUUACCAACACUGAGUGACCAGAGGGAAGAGGUGGGUGUGCCAGGAGCAGUUCAAAGAGGAAGGAAGGGGUUUUGUUACCACCAUGAACGAUGCAGAGCAGGGAGGAAGGGCUUUAACCUGGAUUGUGCAGAAGACCUUGACCCAGUAGUCUCUAUUUACUGACCGGGGGCUUGCAGUGCAAAGCCAGGCCAAUGUAUCAUUUUAUUUACAAUAAAAUUAUCAUUUAUAUGAAAGCCUGUUUUGGUGACUGUCCUUUUAAAAAGCAAAAAUUUGGAGAAGGAAAGCCUCUGCUUUUCAGACCAGUGGAAGAUACCAUGAGCUGCCUUCCAGAUCUUGCAUUGACUGUAACAGUGAUUUGGGGCAGAACAGAGAGUGGGUAACCACAUCUCCAAAUACUUCCAGGGUUUAUUUUUUUUUUCAGCUUGCUGUUUUAGGAACAAUCAGAAAUAGUGCUGCUGUAAAAUUCAUCUGUUCUCCUUACUGAAAGGGUGAUUUUUUCCUGUUCAUGCAGCUUCUCUCCUCAGUGCCAUUGUCACUUAGUCAGUGUUUGGUGCCACUGUCCCUCCACCCCAGCCAGCCUCCAGAACUGUUUUCCCAGGAUGGAGCUGCUGUCAGUGAAGCACUGAAAUACUUGUCAGUGUGAAAUGUGAACAGGUCAGAAGAGGGGCUUGGCCAGCUGAUGGAGCAGAAACCACGCACUGAAGCAGGCUGUGAGACCCUGGCUGUGCCAGCACACACAGGAACCAUCCAGUGCAGAUGUGUCAGAACAAAAUGUCUCGUGGAGCCAGAGCAAACCACAGCCCUUGGUGUCAGAGCACCAGCUCCUGCCGUGGCCAGAGCAGGACUGGGAGCUCUCCCUUCCUUCACUGAAAACACGAAAGAAAUGCAGCAAAGACCCUCAAUUUGUAUUUCUGGCAGUUUGUGUUACGUGUGUGGUAUGGCCCAGGGGAAGGGGACUUAAGGCACAUUUCCUCUCUAAAUCCACUCCUGAAGCAAAUAAAAUAUAAAAAUCUCUAGAGGGUUGGCUGUACUACACUGCUGUGGCUGUUUCUUUUGGGGCAGUAAAGUGUGACCCAGGAAGUGUCUGGAUUUAGCACUGCUCAGGUGUGGGUGCAUUGCUUUGUACCCAGGAAACGCUGGCACGGUGCUCUGCAGCUCUGCAUGGAUGUGGGUUUACAUGGAGUCACUCGGGAUUCUCCAGCCUUGAAAUCCUGGCGGUUUCAUGCUUCCCUGCCCCCCUAACAUCAUGUGGCAUUGUUCAAACGCUGCUGGGAGCUCGGGAAGUGAGGCCAGGAGGGGCAGGAAGCGGAACCGAGGGCUCUGCUUUCAUUUUCGGAGCCUUCUGAAGGAGGAAGGGGCCGGGGAAGGGGCCCCAAGCCUGCAGCAGCACAGCCCUGGGCAGGAGGGGCUUUGUUGGGGUGCAAAUGUGCCACGGCGUGGUGGGGACAGGCACAGCUCGUGGUGAGGCUGAGCCCCCCUGAGAGCCUUGCCAGGGUCUGUGUGCACGGUGCCUGUGCUGGCUCUGUGUCCCCAGCCAAGGUCAGAUGUCACCGAGACCGUGAGACAUCCCCACGGUGACACCCCCACUGUGCCAUCCUCCCUGUGACACCCCCACUGUGACACCUCCAUGGUGACAUCCCCACUGUGACACCCCCACGGUGACAUCCCCCCUGAGCAAGCCUGCAGCAGCACAGCCCUGGGCAGGAGGGGCUUUGUUGGGGUGCAAAUGUGCCACGGCGUGGUGGGGACAGGCACAGCUCGUGGUGAGGCUGAGCCCCCCUGAGAGCCUUGCCAGGGUCUGUGUGCACGGUGCCUGUGCUGGCUCUGUGUCCCCAGCCAAGGUCAGAUGUCACCGAGACCGUGAGACAUCCCCACGGUGACACCCCCACUGUGCCAUCCUCCCUGUGACACCCCCACUGUGACACCUCCAUGGUGACAUCCCCACUGUGACACCUCCACGGUGACAUCCCCCCUGUGCCACCCCUCCUGUCACAUCCCCCCUGUGACACCCCCACGGUGACACCUCCACAGUGACAUCCCCACGGUGACACCUCCACAGUGACACCCCCCCUGUGCCAUCCCCCCCGUGACACCCCCACGGUGACACCUCCACGGUGACACCCCCACGGUGAC